rnacentral:lncRNA from 1 species
AUUAGUCCUAUCAAUUGUUCAUUAUUCUAUUAGCAACUAAAAUAGAGAGAUAGAUAGAUAUAUAGAGAAACAAUACCUAAUCAGAUCCCCCAAACAUCGUGAGGCAAUAUAAAAUGUCUAAAAAAAAUAUAGUUCUCUGAAAUAUUGCAAGGGAGCCCCAAGACAUUGACACUCUAAAUUGCUUAGAGCUUAAAUGCUUAAUACAAUCAUGCUUCUCCAUUUUGAGCCAAUCCACCUAACGUGGACUACUUCAUUAAUACAUGCAAUCAUUCCAGAUAGCCUGCAAAACAAGAGGUAAAAGUCAGUAAAUAUUGUACAAAUAAUUUUUUUAGUUGAAUGGAAAGGCUCAAAUUAAAAAUCAACAAAUAUAUGCAGGGUUAUUUCAUACUGCUAGUUUAUUGAGCACCAUUAACCUCCUUGUCGGCAUAUAAUGUAUAAUCCAAAAUCAUAUUACCAAUUUUGGGGCAACUUUAUACUACUUGCGAAUAUAAAGAAUAUGAUUAACUAACAAAUAUUGGAUUGUAACAGAUGCGAAAAAAAUACUUCUAUGCUUCAAGGAAUCAUAUGUUCUGAGUAUCGUCUGGAAGCUUUUAGGAUAAAUAAGGAUAGAGGGCUGUUUUGUUCAAGGAAACAGAAUGACUCUCCUUACACCAAGUCUAAGUUCAUCAUCAUUCAUCAUUGUUACAUGUAUAAAACGGGGAAAUACACAAUGAAUAAGAGGAAUAAGGAUAGAGAGCUGUUAACUUCAUCGCACUGUUCAUUUGCUUAUAAUGAAUAAAUAAGAUAAGAUCCCCUGUGACAAAUCUAUUUAUAUUGACAAAUGAAUUCCCUCCAUUUGUUAAAAAGAUGCCUAUUUGGUUGAUCUAGAAGGCAAAGGAGAAUUUCGAAACAUGUAUAUGGUACCUUGCUAGAAGGAAAAAGAUAACUGAUAUACUUGUCUCAAAAUCAGAAUGGAUGAUAGAAUUACAUAGAGCGGUUUGCCCAUUUCGAAGAUUCUCAGUGUUGUAAGGAAUUGUGUCAACGAAUUCCCACAGAAAAUAUAGCGUCUGAUUCCAGGAAAUGAUUUAUUUCUGUUACUCACAAACAACAUGUACAACAUUGAGAAGCUCCUCGUGAAUCAAGCUUACAACACUGAGCAUUAGAAAAUCAUACUCUCUUCUUGCUAGCCGGUGGUGAGAAAACAUGUGCUGCAAUUAGUAUUGAAAUGUUCUCCUUGAUAGGUUCAUGAAGAAUGCCGGCAAUGAGAAUCUCAUCCAGUAUUUAGGCCUGAAAAUUUCACCAUUGGUACUCAUGAGAAUUAGUCAGUACUAAAAAGAAUGGUAUAGCUCUCGCAAGAAAUUUCAUAUAACUCCACUGCUGGUUCUUCGGUG